rnacentral:SRP_RNA from 1 species
CCCCAGGUCCGCAGGUCGUCCAGUCGUGAACCGCGUCAGGCCCUCGCAGGGAGCAGCGCUAAACGAGCUGUGACGUCGCUGCGCCAACCUGGGGCAU